GUCCCUUCGAGGAUAUCUGAUAAAAUUGAAAUAUUACAAAGAGAUUAGCAUGAUCCCUGCGCAAGGAUGACACGAAUAAAUUGAGAAAUGAUUGUGAAUUUU